AGCGUCAGAUGACUGGGAUCACAGUGCAGGAGCCGGAGAUAACAUAAACAGAGCUGGAGGAGAGCACCGAUUACAACAGGAUAGAAAGUUGUCUGGCUCAACGAUGAAACUAUCAAGUCCAGAAGGGAGUCUGCAUUCAGGAUUUCAAUACAAAGGGCUUCCAAUGCUAAUACCGGCAGCAAAUUCAAAUGGGUCUAUCAACACGGAAGAUCCCAGAAGGCUAAACCACAGCGGUGUGUAGGAGCUGCAGAUACUGUACCACAGCCCUGUGUAGAAAAUAAGAACUUACUCACCGAGUGGGAGAUUGUGGAAAGCAUUUGGAAACCCCACUCUAGAAAUCCUGCGUUUGCCACUUUGAGGCCCCCACAAACCUUAACCCGGCCCUGAUUCCAUGCAGCGUGGAAGCAAUCGAUUCUCCAUCUACUCCAAAGAGUUCUGAGCUGUAUGACUAUUUCAGGAGAUGUAUAUCAUAUACUAUA